rnacentral:rRNA from 1 species
AUGAAUACAUCGUCUUCUACGCACGGCGGCGCUGCCUUGGAUCGGCCCUCCAUCGUGCCGCUUCGGUCGUCACCACGCAUCUCAGCUCCAAUAACCAGGUCACGAUGGCUGAUGAUGAGCUCCAGGCUCCGCUGGCUCCACCAACAGCUGUCUGCGAGCACUUGCAUAGGUCAGCUGAGAUGCGUCACGUCCCCUCUGGUUUAUCUAAACGGCUGCAAAAGUAUGGUCAGAAAUUAA